rnacentral:lncRNA from 1 species
CUCUUCUUAUCAUUAAACUCCAACUCAAUCAACAUAUUCAGGGCAAGACCAGGUUUCUGCAGAACAUUACCCAAGUUAGACACCAUAUUCUCCUGUUGUUCUUCCAUUUUCAAAAGCCGCGCCUUCAAAUUCUGCAUCUGCACUUCAAAGCCUUUCCUCUCUUCUUCAUGCACCUGUAGCUCCAACUGAAGAGAUUCCUUGUCGCUUUUAAGCCUUUCUACCUCUUCCUUCAGUCCUUGUGUCUCUGCUUCAGUUAAAGGAGAAGAACUUCCCUGAUUUUGGAGAUUCUGAAGGGAAUGGCUGUGGACUGGUUUCCCCCGAUGGAUGUUCUUCAGAAGCUGCGGCUGACCUCCUACGAAAUCCUCGUCCGCAAAUUCCCAUCGUUCUGGGUCAAUUUUCCUAAAACCCUGUCCAAAAGCGAAAUGUACAUUUAUUGCAAGUUAUACGUUUGCAUGAUCACUUCAUAGAAAGCCAAAUCGUAUCAGAAGACAGGAGCAAGCAGAAACGCAAGUAGAAAGGACUCAGAGGCUUCAAACCUGCAGGAAAGAAUUCUCAAUUUGUUCUAGCUCGACCAGUCCCUGUUGGACAGAGGCUUUCCAUUGUUUGUACAAGAUGCCUCGAUCUAGAGCCCAAUCAGAUAACUUUGGGCACUCGAAAAUGCUUAUCCAGCACUCAUCUGGAAUUUUCGAAUUGACUAUAUUAGAGAAGCUUUCCAAUGAUCCGCAAUGGUUAAAAUCCAAUCUUUUGAUAGUCUCUAGUUCAUCUAGGCCCUUAACCGCCAAAAGCCCUUUGCAUCCUUGAAUUACCAAGGAAUCCAGCUUUUUCAAAUCCGCUAGAUCAUCUAGACAUUGAAUCUCAGGACAUUCUUUUAUUACCAAUUGUUCCAACGACUCUACCGAACCAAGACCCUGGAUUGCAGUUAGAUUUGGGCAAUCAAUUAGCGUCCACAGCUUCAACCUCUUCAACCUCGAAAGACCAGCAAAUCCCAUGAGAAAUUCUAACCCUUCCACUUGGAAUUCAAUUAACUGUUCAAGCCCAUCGAGUUGAACUUCAAUCCAUUUACAUUGAUAAAUGCGCAAACAUGUCAGGUUUCUCAAGUUGCAACAAAAUGAUAAACUGCUUAUUGAUUUAUGAUAUUCAAGCGAUAAUGUUGACAGAGACAGUGGAAGGAACAUGAGGCAUUGUCUGAAUGGACCAUCUUGGAUGAACAAAGGAUGCCGGAUCUUAUCACUACCACCAUAGCUCAAAUCCACCAAUUUAGUUAGGUUUGAGAGAUCUGGUACCCACUGCAGCAAACUUGCUCCAAAGCUUAGGCUUAUCAAACUAGUGGGAAGCUCAGGCAAUACUACAAGUUCUCUGCAACGCCAUAAACUCAAUUUCUCUAGGCGAGGAGGUAGUUUGAUAGUCACCAGAACAUUUCUAAUACAGGUCACUUGCAAGUUAAGGACUCUCAAAAGUGACAAUUUCCCAAUGUCUUUGGGAAUUUCCCAUUCCAGAGAUGGGCAAUCAUUGCCAUGUAGCUCUUCCAACUCUUUUAGAGCGAGAAUACUCCUCGGUAGCUCACUUAUCGAAGAAUUCGAAAUGUUAAGGACUUUUAAUCUACUCAGGUCUCCAAUAGAUUCGGGUAACUGCAAACAUCGUGUUCCCGACACAUCCAACUCAAGUAGCAAUUUCAAGUUCCCAAUAGAGAUGGGAAGUUCCACUAUUUUAGUAUGCGAUAGUAAGAGAGACUUAAGAUCCUUUAGAUUCCCAAUAGAACUAGGAAGCUCAUCAAUUUCUGUAUAUCGCAAUUUAAGUACUGACAAGCACUUUUGGUUGCCAAUGGAGUCGGGUAAUCUUGUGAUGGCCGUACACGAGAGAUCCAACUCUACCAGUGAUGCCACUCUCACAAAUGAUUCAGGCAGCUUCCUCAACCUUUUGCAAUUGCCUAAAUACAAGUACUUGAGAUUCUCUAACCCUCCGAUUCCUUCGGACAACUCUGUAAGACUUGUACACCCAUCCACAUUAAAGUAAAUCAGGCACUUAAGCUUUUCGAGGGAAUCAUCAACUUCAAUCAGUCUUUUGCAAUUUUUAAGGACCAAUCGCUCUAAAUUCAAAUAAUCAGAGAAAUUUGGACUCCUGGUCAUGCUGUUGCAAUUUGUGAGAUUCAAAACUUUCAGCUUCUUGCUAACCUGUUACCAUAGCUAAAAGAGUGUAAAGGGAACGUAAUAUGCGAAUUUAGAGGCAAUAAAUAGCUGUGUUGGAACUGAGUUGUAAUUGUGGUGGCUCCUUUUCCCAAUUAAACCCAAGCAGACCCAUUCAUUUUAGUACUAAGACCUAUCCAACCUGUACCGCAUAUCUCCACCUACAUAUCAGUACAACUUCCUCGUCAUAUGGUAAUUAAUACAAUCUAACUGUCAAUUGUUUAGUUACAAGACCAGGUCAGUUUUACUUGUGGAAAAACUCGAUCACUCAUGACCCAUUUUAUUUAAGUGUUAUUGCCUAUAUAAUUAUGGUAUAGUCAAUAGGAGUUAAACAAUUUAACUAAGAUAGAUAUAAAGAAAUAGCAAAGGAUUGCACCUUAAUUUGACUCCAUCCGGUCCAGUUCUCCGUGAUAGAACUAAAAGACAGGUCGAGAACUACAAGAUUGCUUGGAUGGAAGGUGAUGGCGAAGAGCUCUAGAGGACACCUAUGCCAGGACAUGUAUCUCAACUCUGAAAGCUGAUUCUUGAAGUCUCCAUCAAACUGUCCCCAACGCACUUUGAGGAACCUUAACUUUUGAAGCCUUGAAAACUCCUUGCUCGUAUAUGUUCCUGGUGCACUUCCUUCUAAGCAGAUUGCUUCAAUGUCAUCCUUUCUCUAUCAUUCAAUGGUAAUAUAACAUUAGAGUAAAUGAAAAAUGUCUUCACUCUCUCUCUCUAGAUUAAAAAAGGGCUCCAAAUUAAUAAAUGAACUACUGGGAAUAGUAUAGAAUUCGAGAGUCGAUUGUAUUGUUUUACCUCUUCUGUUCUUAUGAUAUUCACGGCCAUCUCAGGAUUCCACAACCUGCUCUGCUUUCUUGGAUCUAUUGGCCUCGUAUCUCCACAAAUAAUUUUCCUUCCAAGAUCCCUCAGUUGAUCAUGCAUCCAGAAUUUGUUGUCAUCAGUUAUGUUUAUCAAAGACAAGUUCACAAGGACUGGAAUCGAAUAAUCUGGCCUAAACCCACAAUCUUUCCACAUGUAGAAUGCGUUCGUCUUGUCUUCAUCUACAAAGAGACACGCAAUGUCGAGAAAGAUCUGUUGUUGUCGAUGGUUGAGGGCAUUGAAGCUAAUCUUCAGCUUGUCCUGGACCUUCUCAUGAGGUAUUUCCCUCAGAUCGUCCAGAACAUCCAUCCAAAAAGCUUUGUUUUGGCGACAAAGUAAUGAGCCUAUGACUUCAAGUGCUAAGGGAAGUCCUGCAGUCGUAUAAACCACUUCUCUCGAAAGACUGACAUAAUCGUUUGGAGCAAUUCUUCCGAAAGCAUGUCUACUGAAAAGCUUGAGCGAUUGAACGUGAUCCAACGGAUUCACUUGGUACUCAAAAGUGUAAUCGGCUUCUAAGAUGCUUCUAUUCCUAGUUGUCAUAAUGAUUCUGCUUCCUGAGCCAAAGGAAACGUGCUUGAUAGCUAGUUUCUCAAGUUGUUCCUUAUCAUUUACGUCGUCGAGCACCAUGAAGACUUUCCUGUUGGAAAGUCGCUGUGCAAUCAGUUUGACCCCAUCACCAUCAUCGAUUCCGUUGUGAAAGCCCGAACCAAACAUGUUAGAUAAUAUUUGUUUCUGUAAGGCUACAAAGCCAAAGCUGCUCGAAGAUUCCCAGACAUUUUCCAGGAAGCAGCAAUGACUGAAGAGGGAAUUUAGUUUGUUGAAUACAACCUUAGCAAGAGUCGUUUUACCGAUUCCGCCCAUUCCAUGGAGUAGUACAAAGCGCACGCCUCCUGAGUCCACGUCCAACAACUUCACAAUGGCUUCCACUCGCUCAUCCAUUCCUAUUAAAUGCUUAGUGACAUGUUUGUCUUUUAUCUUCAGCUUCGUCAAAAUCUCUCGUACCACUGAUUCAAUAAAGUUCCAGUACCUGCCACGGUAGAGAGUCAUCUCAGUCGAAAUUGUAAAUGAUAACCUUGGGACACUCAGUAAGUGGCAUUUUAAAUUUAAAUAACUUUCUAAUCCUACAGUUAAGCUUACUGAAUCAACAGUGCACCCCAAAGGAAGAGACAUUUUAGGUGCUUUUAGAACACGACGUCCUACGAUUCUAGCAAAUAAUCAUAUGCUGAUAUUAUGAACCCUUUUUAUGUACUUGCCCUCGAAAUGGUAACACCUCCAACAGGCAAUGGGGAAACUUGCUCCAGUGCCAUGUAAGAAUCUUUUAAAAGGAGAGAAGGUAACUUUUAAGGAGGUAAUCCAUAAUUUACGAACACGAUGACAUAUAAAAUUAGAUCUGUCAACGAAAGAAUUAGAGGAAAAACACAAAAUUUCAAAAGAAAUACUCCUUGUCUUUAUUAACCCAUCUCCCCCGCUAAACUUACCAGAAGACAAAUAGAAUUUGACUGAAUACAUACCCGGCUCCUGCUCUAUUUGGUUUGGGUGAAAUCAAAUGGAUGAUUUUAGUUCUAAAAAAAAUGGUAUUCAUUCCAUUUCAAACCGCCUAAACGAGAUCUCACACAAACUCGUACACAAUGAAUUCCAAAAAAAAAAAAAAGUUGCGGAGUGAUUUAGGACACUACAUACCCUUGCUUUUUCAACUCCCAUCCUUUGAUUUGGGCUACACUUUUCAGUGCUUCCUCCCACUUUCGCCUCUCCUGGCAGCCAAACCUUUCCUCAUGCUCCUUCAAAGCGCCAACGUACAAUUGAGACUUAAGCUUAACAUCGCGAGGCUCCACGUCAUAGAAAAUUGGCAUAAUCUCCUUUUCGGAUGGUUUGGAUUUCAUGCACUCCACCAUGUGCGCCAGCUCACGAAGGCACCAUGCACUCGAAGCAUAACCUUUAGAGAAGACGGGUACGUAGAUCUUCGACUUUUCGAUGGCCGUUGGCAAUUCAUCACUUAUUCUUUUACCGACAUGGAGCUCUUCCUCAUCGAGGAAGACAUGGAUGUUUGCUUCUAGCAUCAUGCGAUAAAGGCAAUCUAUGAAUCCUUGGCGAGUGUCCAGCCCUCUGAAACUCAAGAAGACCUUGUAAUCAAUUGCCGAUGGCUCGCCGUCACUCGUUCCAGCCUCCAAGCUCUUUCCCAAGUCCACUGUGCCGAGUAUUUUUGCCUCGGAGUUUCCCCUCUCGAAGUCUGAAAGCCCCGCCGACGACUCACCGCCACUCGUUCCAGCCUCCGAGCUCUUUUCCAUGUCCACUCUCCGGAGUCUUACUGCCUCAGCGUAGCUCCUCGUCAGUGAACGUCUCUGUUUCCAACGUCUCCGUCGCUGCCGAUCCCUCAACCUAGCUUCUCUCGCCAAGGAAAUUUGCCCUUCAUACCAGGUCUCGAAAUCCGCGAUCCGCGUGGUCAUCUCCACGUCCUCAUCGGAAAAAGGCCCCAAAUUCAAAUCCAGGUUCAUGGUAUCAGACGUCUCCUCUCCCAUGGAUGCAACAGCUUUACAAAUCACAAGCCGAAUUCAAGUAUCUGUCUCUGUCUCUCCCUCAAGUAUCCGUUCCCGGAGUCUCCGUGGAUGUGUUUGUCCCGUCGUGGAUGAGGCUUGAGAGAGAUGAAAUCCACAAGGCUAAGGGUUUAGCUUGUUGUCUAUAGGACAACCCAGAGAGAGAGCGAUAGAGAGGUGUUUUUGUAACUGUUGCCUCUCCUUAAACCCUAUGAAGCAUAGAUACUCUCGGGAGCCUCCCUAUCGGUGGGUGUCCACCCCACAGUCAACAGACGUCAGAAAAUCCGACACGUUAAUCAACUCGUCAACUCUCCCCACACGCUGUGACAUGCGAGUCCGGAAUUGGAAGAGGCACGGUGGGUUUCUAGGGUGGGUUUGCAAGUGCGAAGGUAGAGAGAAUUGUUGAAGAAGGCGAUGGAGGAUGGAGGCGAGAGUGAGGGAGCGGAGGCGAGACUGCGAGCGACAAUGAGGCCGUGACUGCAAGGGAGGGCCAGAGCAAAAAGCAGAGAUCAAGCCGACCGAGAAGGCCGCGAUUGCGAUGCUGCGAUGGAGGGCCAGAGGUAAGGCUACGAUUGUGAAGAAGCCACAAGCUGAUCAAGAAUAGGGGCACACAUUAUAAUAAAAUAUUAUAGGAGCUUCAAGAAGCAGAAAAGCAAGGUUCAACUUGCUAACUUGAACGUCAAGGAAAAGUUGCAGUCCACAAUUGUUGAAUCCUUAGCCAAGAAGAAAAUGAAAGUCCAUCAUGCAUGAAGUGUAAAGUGCAGGCGGUGGAGUCCUGGCGGUGGAGAUGUGUAUAAAUAUAUGUACUUACGUGAGUUUAUUUUGAGAGAGAGAUAGCUUUAGAAGCAUACAGAAAGAUAAGAGAGUUUUAAGCUUAGCAAAGCUUGUAUGUACUCCAUAUUAAGCCUUCGCAAGGCAUUUUAAGUACUAUAAUCUCUAUUUGUGUGUUUGCACUCUCUCCUUGCCAAAUCCUUCGAAGCUCGUUUAUCUUUUGGUUCCAACACACGCUACAUUUUAUGGAAAGGUUUCUUUAGCCGGCCCUUUUUCUCUGAAAGGGUCUCUUUUCUUCUUUUCUUUUUUCGGUUUUUGGGAAAGGACAAACGAGUUCAUUAUUACUCAAAUUGACGACAUUCCUAAAACAUCUCUAACCUACGCAAAUUGGGUCUCUCGUCCGAACUUCGAGAUUGCCUGAAAGUAAAACAAAAGAGGUUAUCGGCUAUAGAGCCGAAAGAAAAGAUAUUAUAACAAUUGAAGACAGACACGACAUGUUAAAAUUAUGAGUGUAUCUGUAAAACCCGAUACUAGAAGAAUUACAUGGGGAAGGGGAUGCAAAUGAGUAUGGCUAUUUACAAAGACCAAAAUCAGAUUGCGGAUACACGAGGCGCCAAUAUGGGCCGCACUGUCCAGGAAAUACAACAAGGAAUAGUUUCAUCCACAAAAUUCAUGGAGAUUUUUCUAAAAUAAUAAAUGAAAGAUUAUCCAGUUAGCACAACUUGAAAUAAUUCCUUGUUUAAGUUUUCUAUCAACUUAAAACACAUUCUUCACCUCUUCCUACCAUCAUUAUAAGAGGGCUCGUUGAUCAUUCUUUAUUAGCAAAAGCAAAAUUUUAUCUAAACGAAGCUACAUUGUGUAUGUCAUUGAUAACUUAAUUUGAUUUCUUGCACAUUAUUUUUUAAUGAACUAUUAACUGGAUAAAAUAGUAGCUGUUUUAAUUUUUUUUUUCUGAACUCGUACUAUUUAAUACGCUUCUUAUGAUUCUUUUGUUUCAAAAAAGGCUAGCAAGGGUCUUUGCACAUAAUUUUUUUUUUUUUGAACUUUUACUAGGAUCUCCUCGCCAGGUUUAGCAAGGGGUAGCCUCGCCCCACCCUCGCCAAAGGCCAGCAAGGGUCAACUUGCCUAUGGCCGACAAGGGUAUCCUGCCCCUCACCCUCGUUGGCGACUAGCAACUCCACUAGCCAUCAUGGAGGUGGCAACUAGUGGCGAAGGGAAAUAAGGAAAAAAGAGUAAGGAAAAGAAGAAUAAAUAAGAAAAAAAGAAGAAAAAAUAGUAAUUAAAAUUCUAAAAAAUAUUUCAAAACUUAAAAAAGGAAUCUAUGAAGUCUCAUAUGGCGACUUCAGCACUACCCAAAACUUCAUUUAUUCUUAUGGAGCAUAUGUACUAAUGCACUCCCAACAAAGGAAAACCUCCAUAAGAGGAAAGUAGUACUUGAUCCACAAUGUCCAUUGUGAUGUAAAGCCUAAAAAAUGCUUGAACACCUAUUCUUUCUGUGUGAAUGGACAAAACCAUGGUUAGAUCCUCGAAUAAAGCUGAACACAACUACGGAAGAGAUCCCCAAAAUGGAUAGAUGGCUCAUAGAGAACCUAACCUCCCAAGAUGGGUCAAACCCAAAUGCACUCCUGGUUCUUUUUUUUUUUUUUUUUUGGUUGGGUACUCUGGCUUUUUUUUUUUUUUGUGGUAUAAUAUGGUGCUUUCAUUCAUUCAUAAACAACGAGGAUCACAAGAAACGAUAGAUAAGUUUCCAAACAUAAAAUUUCCGAGAGGAGUAAGGGAGGAAAAUACAUCCAAUUUUGAGGGAGAGUUUUGGUUCAGUGAGCCUUAGCGAGCCAAUCUGCGGCCUUAUUGGCCUCCCAAGAGCGAUAUGCCAGCGUCAUCGAGUCGAGUUGGGCUAAUAUUCCUUUACAUUGCUCUAUUAUAUCCUUCACGUUCCAAGGGUCUUCAGCCCAACCCAUGAUACUUUCCACGAAAGUCAAACUAUAUGUUUCGCACUCUAGCUUCUCAUUUUGUACUUGCUUUGUCCCAACCGUUCCCAUGUGUUCCUCCUUUUUCAGCCUCAAAAACUCCAGCCCGUGCAGAACAGCUAGGGCUUCAGCUUAUAAAGAGGAUGGCGCACGAACCUCUCGCACGAAGUCAUUGAUGACUAUUUUGGCCUGAUCUCGCAAGAUUCCAGCGACUGAACCUAAGAAUUCUCCUUGUACCCAUGAGCAAUCAACAUUUAAUUUCAUUGAUCCUCUCCCCAAUGGCGUCCACUUGAUCGAUAAGUUCAGAUUUGUGGGUUUCUUUGCUCCAUUUUUCUUUUGCCAUCUGCUGAAGUUCUUUACUUAUGCUUCCACUAUGUCAACAAUGGAGUCCGGAUCUAGUGGCUUGGCUCGAAAUAUGAAGUUGUUGCGAGUUUUCCAUACUAACCAAAGCACCACCACGACCAACUUGUUCUCAGCUAAGUCAUUGCUCCCUUCGAACCUCUUUGAUAGCCACUUAUCAAACCUAGAAAUAGUGUAGGGAUUGCAGGGAUUGCAGCUUAGGUUGAUUCGUGGGUCUACCCAUAUGUGUUUUGUUCACUUGCAGAACAAAAACAAGUGCUCGGUUGUCUCUGAAUGGGUGUUGUAGAGCGGACAAAUUGGGUCAGGUAACCCCUUCCUUCUGUAUAGGUUCUUUUUUGAUGGUAUAGCAUCUUGACAGAUGCUCCAAAUAAAAGUUCGCAUUUUCGGGGGGAUAGUUAAAUUCCAGAUUUUAGUCCAUAUGGUUCUAGAAGGCUAGAACGAACUUGAUACUCUAUUUGGUUCUAUUUUUGUGGUUCAGGAACAAGCUCUAUUAUAGCCGCUCUUUACUGUGUACAUUCCUGAUUUGUUGCCUAUCCAUACAAGAUUAUUACCUUUAGGGUAGGGUUGAUUGGGAUAGCAAGGAUUUCGUUAGCUAGACGAUCUUCAAAAAGGUUCUAAAUCUUUAUUUCUUUCCAUCCCCGGCUUUGUUAAUUAAUAAGCUUAGCCAUCAUUAUAGGGUCAUCUUUAUUUGCCAGACCGCCGAUCACACCUGAUGUAAGCCAUUUGUGCUCUCAUGUUCGAAUUGAUUUUCUAUCACCCACCCUCAAUUCUACCUCCAAUUCUAUGGCCUCUCUCCCUACCAAAAUGCUUUGCCAACCCCAUAAUGGGCGUUGCCAUUUUCUUACCUUCCACAAGUCUCCAUUUGGGAAGUAGACACCUUUUAGAAUCCUGCUCCAUAGAGCUGAAGGGGAUUGAGAUAACCGCCAAGCUUGCUUACCUAGCAUUGCUUUGUUGAAAUUUAUCAAGUCUUUAAAUCUAAGCCCCCUUCAUCCUUUCUAGUUUUCAUUACUUCCCACUUUUUCCAAUGCAAUCAUCUCCUUGAAUCAUUUUGUUUCCACUAGAAAAAGGUGAUUCUUCUUUCGAUAGCAUUGCAUAUCGAGACGGGUAUUUUAAAUAUCGACAUCGCAUAUUAAGGAAUGGCUUGUACUGUCACACCUCGAACCUUGAGCACGUGCAUAUCCCUCGGUGGUCGAUAGAAUUUUGUGGCGUUCCCAGAACUCAUCCCCAACCUUUUUCAUUUUAUUGGACAUGCGGGAGCAGAUUAACUAAUCUCCUAACAAUGACAUACAUGCGAUAGAAAAGCAGGACAACAAUUUCCCAAAUCAAAACACACUUUCAAAAACAUCUCAGGUUCUUAUACAGAAGGUCUAUCUAAAAAAGAGCUACUAAGUCAUUUAUGCUCCAGACCCUUCUGCUUCAAGCUCUUGGUUCUUCACACUAGAGACCUGAAAAUGGUUAUAUAAUAACCAGUGAGAUAUAAAUCUCAGCAAGUCCUCCCCCUAAGCCCCGAUUAAUACACCAACUCAACUCGGUGUACCUCUUCAGAACCACCCCACAAACAGAUCAAAGAUCAACAACCAACACUCAAUAGUCGGUUCGCAUGCAACCUUACCUGAUAUGCCACACUCUACACGUUGAAUCUCAACACAAUACACGUAAUGCACAUGUCCAUUAGAUGAUGCAGUUCAUCAAUCAUAUAUGAGUCGCAUCACAAGCGAUCUCACAUGGCCAUUGCCACACCUUGCAUGUUAUCGGUUCAUGCAUGCAUGCCAUAAACAAUAUGCUCAACCCAUGCAUAAUUGGAACUAAUAAUGCCAUGAUUUUCAUACUCUCUAGCACUUUAGUGUGCCACCUAUCCCUCAUCAAUCGAUCACAUGGGUCCCGAUUAUAAAGUAAAAUCAUUAUGACAUGUCCCAUACCGUGCCACACAAUUUUACCCCAUAAUAAGGCCCAACCAACUCAACCCUCACGCGUGCUCUAGUUAUUAAUGACCUACCGGCCAUAGCUAACUUUCCAGUUAGUGAUCAUCGAUCUCAAUACUCAUGCGUGCUCUAGUUAUUAACGACCUCCUGGCCAUGGCUAACUUCCCAGUUAGCGAUCAUUCGACUCCCGCCGGGCUAUCGAUGAAAAUCGGGCUUCAUCCAGCCCCGUCGGGCACGGCUACGUUUAGAACUCCCAUUCAGACGGUAUCCCCAAAGAGGAACAUCGAUCCGGAGUCUAUUGCAACCGGCUUCGAACUCCCGCCGGGUAUUGCCCCCAAACUCCCAUUAGGUGACGGUUAAACUUUUAAUCACGCAAGUUCACUACGACCCCCUUCUUAUCUAUGAGCAUUUAAUCAAUGCAAAUCAAUGCACAAUGCUUGCAAAUAUAAUUUCAAAUUGUUUUCCUCUAAAGGCGGUCCAUUUCGGUGUCCCUUGGACAAUGCAUAUUUCCCUUUUUUGUGAAAUUCACUCAAUUAAUGCGGAUGCUCAUGCAUUUAUACACUCAAAUCACCUCAUAAAAUCAAAGCACAUGAAAUUAGGCACUUUUUUAUUUCCGGGUGAACAGUGUUUUGUGAACGGUAACUCGUGAAAAGUAUUUCAUAUGAACAGUAAAUUUCCAAAAUUAAAUAACUAAUAAAUUAAAUCCACAAGUCAUUGAAAACACUAAUUGAAGCAAGUAAGGCAUCAAGAACCAUCACCAAAGUAAAAUUGAUCCUAAAUGGCAGAAACGGAGCUACUCGCGUGUCUCCAAGUUUAAAUCCAAAAACCUAACCAAACGAGUUUAGAAAAUUUCUAAAUUUGAAUAUAUUGUAAACGACACAUAAACAAAUAUUUUUCAUGCAGACACCUUAACUCAGAUCCUUCUAGAUUCAACCCAGUAAAUCGCUCAAUCCAACACCAAAAACUGGGUCCGUUUCCAGAAAGUAUGUUUUCCUAAAUCAGUUUGGUUCGAGAUCCAAAAUAUAUCCGUUUGAUCUGAAAUUUGAGUAUGUUAAACCAGAAUAUGUAACAAACAACUUUUGUAAAGAAACUAUUUUAAAAUUCGAACUCUAAGAGUUGAUAAAAACUCCUAAAUCCUAAAAGGUCACCAGUUUUAGUAAAAACUAAGGUUCUGUUUGAAAAUGACGGAGCUGAUAUCUCCUUAUUUUGAAUCUCUAAAAAUCUUGAGAAAAAUAUAUAUUGUAGCUAAAGAUGUCUAAAACAUUUCUCUAUAAGUGAUCAACCUCAAAUUCAUGACUCAUUUUGAUCUACAAAAAUGGGAAACAGCGAGAGGCUAGAGAUCCGAAUUGCAGGGAGUCCACUGAUUUAGACUAAUUCAUCUCAAAGGUGCUAAUCUCACUAAUUAGAUUAACACUAAUCCAUUCUAAGGCUAAUUUAACCAUUCUAAAUUAUCAUUUUUCCAUACUUAAGCUAAUAUAAACAAUCCUUAAGCAUAAUUAACCUCCAAGCAAGUUUAGGCACUAAUAAAAGGAUUAUGAGCUAAACUCACCCGUUAAACGGGCCUGAGACACGGACGCGGCGGCAACGACGAAGGCUAUGCACCGAAACCACAACCACGACAAUCUAAGGCGGUCCCAAGAUUGAAACAGCAACCGCAAGCUCAAACUCCCUUUGCAACUCCAAGAAACCAAACAACAGACCAGGAAAAGUAGUCAAACGGCUUCACCGGAGCUCCGGCGAGCUGGUGGUUGGCAACCGGCGACACCCAAGGGUCAAGGGGGACAUGCUGGUAGUGAGAAUGAGUGGAGGAAGGGUCGGAAUGGGUGAAAAAACGAAGAAAAAACGAAACAGUUCCCUCCAAGCGAACUCUAGGCGGUCCGGCGAGCAGCGGCUUCUCACUGGAGGAUGGGACGACCGGCGGAUCUUUUCGGCGUCCGUAUCCUCCAAUGACGGGACUGAUGUGCUAAAGAUGAUGGUGGGGCGCACAAGCACUUUUAACUAGUUUUUCACACGAAGGUCAGCUGGAGCAGAAACUGGAAGAAGGAGAAAAUAAGGGAGGAAAGAGUCCGGCGAUGGCUUCGAUGGCCUAGGCGGUGUGCGAUGGCCAAGGGGAGGGUGCUGUUGGCUUUCCUCUAGUUUCACAAGCUCUCUCAAUACUUCAAGAAUGGAGAAAGGAGGGGGAAAGGGGAAGAAGAAGUCUGCUAGUCAAGGAGAGGACCACAAAACAUCCAAUGCACUUGAGUUCUUGCCCCACCAGUUGGUCUGUCAUCCUUAGCCCUUUGAUAGCCCAUAAGCUUCCUCAACAAACUUGACAAUAGGUCCAAAAUGUUAAGGGGCAUGGGGGCUACAAAUUUGUGACGCUUUCCUCUUCGAUUCCAUUCCAUCCUCUUUAAUUUUCAUUCAAUUUCUCUUCCAAUUGAGUCAAAUUGAAGUCCAUAAAAUCCACCAAUGUGCCCACACUUAAUUCCACAAUUUUCCUUGUCCAUAGAUCCCACUUGAUGACAAAAAAUGCAACCAAAGGUUGGCCUACGAAUUUUCCGGUCCAAAAUACCCUUUGAAUAUUCAUCGAAAAUCUCAGUUUGCAAAAUUUUUUUCCCUAAAAUGAAUUGUGACAUUAUAGAACUUUAAAUUUCUAAAAUCGGGUUUAAAUUUGCGAUUAAUUUCAAUCUAGCGCGAUUUUAACGCGUCUGAAUCUACCGGGUAGCUUUUAGGAAUUUUUGGCGCAUUUGACCUGUGGUUGAUUAUUUUCAAGUCACAAUGUACAUCUUCGAUACAUUAGCGACUCUCGGUUGUCGUGAAAAUCUCAAGGUUUCAAAUAUGGGCACAAUGUACAGAAAAGACAAAAUAAUCAGUCCAGUAUCGUUCAAUGAAAAUUUUGUAAUCAGGUGGAAUCACCCAUUCACUGAUCAUAUAUCUUAGUCGAAUCAAUCUAUCUCUAAUCUCUAAUUGAUUUCGACAGUGCCGUAUUGACCCUUGCAGAUUAGCACGGUCGAGUAGUCGGUUUCUAGUCGAAUUCUCGAGUCUGUAGCGUUAAAAUUCCUUAACGGCUUCACCCGAUAGAUCAAUUAACUCGCAAAUGGCCAACUUAGAGAAAAAAACUAUAGGCGAGUCGAUGAAAAGCCUGACUCAUUCAAUUGAAAACAGAAAUGGAAAAUCAAGAUGUCACAUGCACUACACUUUUUAUUAAGGUUUCUUUGCCUGCUUUGGAUAGUAGCUUUUCUUUCCAGCCCUCAAGCUGCGUGUUUACUCUAGCGAGGAUCCAGGCGAACAUCUUUUUUUUUUACUGGCCCCAAUCUGUCGAAAUGCCAAGAUAUUUCCAUGUCUUAUCUAUGAUCGGUACUUUGAGCUCUUGAGCCAUGUUCCUCUUUAGAUUUAAAGGGCAUCCACUGUUGAAACAUACUUUUGAUUUGUUUAGGUUCAUGGCUUGACUUGUUGCGAAGCAAUACUAGUUUAAAACGGCUACUAGAUUUUGACAUUCUCUGAUAAUCCCAUCGAGGAAAAAAAUAGCAUCAUCGACAAAGAGUAGGUGGGAUAGGGUAGGGUAGUACGUGUUCAAAGUUAUUCCUUUAAGGAUCCCAUCUUAUGGCUUUGUGCAUUAGCCAUGAUAGGACAUUCACCACUAGAAUGAAAAGGUCAGGGGAAAGAGGGUCGCCUUGUAUGAUUCCCUGUGAUGGUGUGAAAUAUUGCAUAAGCUCCCCAUUAAUCUUCACACUAAGGGUGCGUUUGGUAAUGAUUCCAUUCCUGAGAGUAGAUUCUAAUUAGAAAUGAUUCUUUUUUAUUCUGUUCCCGGGAACAAAUUCUAAGCAUUUUAAACCGUUUGGUAACUGUCUAAAAUUUCUGAUUUUGGAAUAGAAUUACGUUUGGUACCGUGCUCAUUGAUUCUGUUCCAAAUCAAUAUCUUUUAAUUUUUAAAUAAUUUUUAUACUUUUUUUCCUUUUUUCUUUUCUUUUUUUCUUUUUUUUCUUUUUUUUUUUUCUUUUUUCUUCCUUUUUCUCCUAUUCUUCUUCUUCUUCAGGCCAGUCGCCGGACCAACGACUAGCCAGACGAGGGUUGACGACCUCACCAAAGCGUCGCCAGCACUCGGCGACAUUGGCCCUCGUCGGUCGAGCCUCGCCGACAGCUAGGCGAGGCCUGUCUAGCCACCGGCGAGAGGUGGGACAAGGCCUACCUAGCCACCGGCGAGGCUCGCCCAGCCUCGCCGGGACCAAGCGGUCCUCGCUCAGCCCUAGCGAGGGCCGCUUGGCCACCGGCAAGGCCAAGCCUCGCCGAACUGGUUUUAUCGGUGAUUGGCGAAUAGCGGUGGACAGCGGCGGACGGCGGCAACGGGUAGUGGCAGACAGUGGCAAACAGCAACAAAGGAGGGGAGAGAAGAGUUCCACUUUUUUUAUUCUUUUUUUUGUUCCUGGAACAAGAAUCAAUUUUUUUUUUUUAUUCUUGAUUCUACUCCAAAUCUAUUCCUGAACAAAAAUUUUACCAAAAGCGAUUUUGUUCCCAAAUUGAUCCCAAGAAUAAAAAAUCAAAAUCAAGCAUUAUUUGGAUGGUUACCAAACAAUGCCUAAAAGACAUUAUUGAUACACAUUGCAUAAUCAAUGCUACCUACCUCUCGUAAAAUCCCAUUUUCAACAUGUAUUCUCUCAAAAAGUCCCACUCAACUUUGUCAUAAGCUUUUUGCAUAUCCAAUUUCAAAAUCACUUGAAAAUUAUUUUUUCUCUUUUUAAUUCUCAGCUAAUGGAUAACUUCUUGAACUAUAAGUAUGUUGUCUUGGAUUUGCCGACUUUGUACAAAGGCACUUUGUUCAAAAGUUAUAAUUUCUGGGAGCCACGACUUCAACCUAUUAGCCUCACUUUUGAUAUAAUUUUGUAGCUAAAAUUACAUAGGCUGAUAAGUCUAAAUUGGCUUAUGCUUUCUGGAUUUUUGACUUUUGGUAUUAGAGAGAUAUGUGUUUUGUUUAGGGUAAGGUCAAGAGUACUUGUCACGAAGAAGUUUUGUACUAGCUGAAACAAUUCGUGCUUUAAAUCCUCCUAAUAGUGCUGGUAAAAUUGACCAUUUAGUCCGUUGGGACCUGAAGCUUUAAGUGAACCCAAUUGGAAGACCGCUUCUUUGACUUCUUCAAUGGAUACAUUUGCCAUCGGCUUUGCAUUAAUUUUUUCAUUUACUGGACUGGGACACUGAUCUAGAAUUGAUUAAGAAUUCCUCAGACCCACCGACUUGUCUAGUGUUUGAUAAAAGUCCCCUAUGUGUUGCUUGAGUGCAUUUGGCUCCCUACACCAGGUUUCUUCAUCUACCUUCAACAUCGUGAUUCCAUUCAUCUGCCUUCUUUGCACUGCUGUGGCGUGGAAGUACUUCGUGUUGCUAUCUCCCCAUUGAAGCUAGUUGAUGCGCGAUCUUAGCCCCCAGUAUUUUUCCUUUUGUCUCCAUAGUUUGUCAAUUUGGGCGGUAAUAUUUUGAGGUUCCUCCUUGCUAAAGCUUCCUAAAGUUCUAUUAGUAAUCUCUAAUAGUGUCCUCUUUACCUUCCUAAUUCUAGUUUAUGCAUUGGAGAACUUGUCUUUACUCUAGGUUGCUAGUUUUUUAGAGAUUUUUUGAACUUUUUCAGAGAAGCUGUUAUCAUUUGAUAAAUUUCCAUUCAAUGUUCUCUUUAUGAUCUCCCUGCAUUCUUGAUCUUCCAACUUGUAAGCUUCGAGCUUGAAUUAUUUUUUUCUUUUCUUACUUUCAGGAUGUAACACAAUAAGAAGUGGGUUGUGGUCUGAGCCAAUAACUGGUAGAGCCUGAAUCUCAGCAUUUGGGAAGGUAACCCUACAAUCCAUAGUGCAUAGAACUCAAUCUAGUUUUUUUUUUUUUUUACUAGGUCCUCUCCUUCUCUGUUAUUCGCCCAAGUAUAAGCAAACCAUUUACUAUCUAUAUCCAUUAGGGAGCAAUCAUGUAAGAGUUCACAGAAGGCUGCUAUGCAGUAGUGGUCGGCUUCUCUCUUUCCUACAUUCUCUCAAAUGUACAAAAUUUCAUUGAAAUCCCCCAUACAAAUACACGAUAAUAGGUUAUUUGACUGGAAAUCCCUCAAUUUUUGCCAUAAAAGUAGCCUCUCCCCAUAGUUCAUAGGAGCAUGGAGGAAAGUUAUUCUCAUUUGAUAGCCACUAGUCAGGUCUUUACAUUCCAAAUUGAUGAAUGCUUUAGUGCUAGAAUUCACUCUUAAACCCACAUCUUCACUCCACAUAAGUGUUAAUCCUCCUAUGAUGCCUUCCGAAUUUUCUAAAAAUAUAUUUGGGAACUUCAGGCAUCUUCUGACAUCCUCUACCAUCGUCUCCUUGUUCUUGGUCUCCAUUAAAAAAAUCAGGUUAGGCCUUUCGAGAGCUACGAGAGCUCUCAGCUCUUGAAAUGUCGGGGGGUUGCCUAGCCCUUGAUAGUUCCAACUAAUGAUCCUCAUAAUAUCUUCGGUGGCUUAUUAGGGCUAGUCACCGAAGCCCAAUCGUUUCCUUCUUUUACUACCUAAAUGGGGGUCUCCAAUAGCUCCAUAUCGUAGAUGAUAAGUGGGAUAGGGUCUGCUAUUCUUUUCUGUUUUUUUAGCCCUCUAGAUCUUCAAGCUUUUCUUGCUGUUGAUUUCCUCGUUCAAAAGUUUCAAUUUGGGAAGUUCAAGGCACAUUAUCUAUUUUCCAUUGUCUUUUUUUGUUCAUAAAGUUGGAGCCGAGCUUUCCAUUGUCUUGUUAAAAGAUGAAUUUUCUGCCCUUUUCUUGUUUCGAAUGGGAGUCACCCUUAUCUCCAAUUCAUUUCUAACCACUAUUUCCAUUCCAUAUGUUAUGGCUGGUGCUUCGGGGACUGAUUUUUCAGCAUCUGUAUUUGUUUCUAGUUUCUACCCUUGCCUUCCCUACUUUGUAUGGACCAUUUCCUUUAGAAUCCACCUGUAUUUCCAACACUCUUCCCACCCUUUCAGCCAAAUCAACAAACACUUCCUCUCUAAACCACCCGGGAGGUAUCCCACCUAUUUGUACCCAGAAUGUGCAAUGGGAAAAGUUAUAACAAUGCUCUUGGAUCUCUAGUUCACAUUGUUUAAGGACUAAAAGAUUGCUAGCGAAGGACCAAGGGCCUAUUUUUAUAAUUCUCUCUUCAUCCUCCUUCGAUUGAAAUACGAAAGAGAAAAACCCCGGCUCCUUUUGUGAGCAAACAACUGAAUUUGUUUUCCAUGCCUUCUUCAUUGUGUUGGAAAAAGCUUGAAAGUUAACAUUAGGUUUGGAGAACAACUUACCAAAUAGAGUUUGUCUGCAUUCCCUCCUUUUAUUGGAAGGGAACUCUGUCGAUACUUCUACUACAUCAUUGUUUGACCAAAGAUGGCCUAAGCUUUUACACAGAGUUGCGGCAAGUCGUUCUCUAUCUCACUUUCCAUCUCUCCUUUCUGUAGGGUCUCGACUUGUAGUCACUUCAUUUUGCUUGCUUGAAAUAGCACCUAGAUGCCGGAUAAGGAGGCUUCCUGUGAUGGCUUUUGUAGAGGUCCACCAUGAUGUUUGGUGGGCUAGAUGGAUUUGCUUUUGGGUUCUUUUGCCUUUGGGGAUUUUGGGGGUAAGAAUGAGGUUAGAUUGAAGAAAGCUCUGUGAAAAUGGGUGUGGGAUUUCUAGAAAUGGCUAAGCAAUCUAGGUUGAAGUAAGUGUUUAGUGGGAGGAGGUCCUUCAAGAAAGAGUUGCAAGGGAAAGGGUAGAGGGCAAGCUGAGAGGAUACGUCUAUGGAGUUAGGGUUUCUUUGAUGGAUAUGCAGGAGGAAGAAAAGGCUUAGGGUAUGUUUGUUUAAAAUUAUUUAUGUUUCCCGGUACACAAAUUUUUGUUAUUUUGUUCUGGGGAACAAAAAAAGAACAGAAACGUGUUUGUUUAUACUUUUGUUCUCGGAAACAAAAAAUCUAUUUUUUUUGUUCUUGGAAACAGAUUUGGAACAAAAAUUAGAAGUAGAAAAAACUUGUUUCUUGUUCUCGGGAACGCUUUCGAGAAACACUUUUUUUUUCAUCUCAUUUUUCUUCUUCAUUUUUCUCUUUCUUUUCUUCUUCUUUUCUUCUUCUUCUUCUUCUCCCUUUUUCUGGUCACCGGCCUUGGCCAUGGCUAGCACCGGCAACCGGCCAGAUGAGGGCCGGCAACCUCACCGGAACGUUGCUAGCCCAAGGAGAGGCCGAGCCUCGCCGUGGCUUGUUGUGGCCACGCGAGGCUCGGCCUCGCCUAGGCUGGGGGAGGCCAAGCUCGCUUAGCCACUGGCGAGGCUUAGCCUCACCAAGCUACCUCCAGGAUGGCGUCGCCUAGCGGUGGCCUAGCGAGGCUACUAACAUGAUACUUAUUUGAGACCAUAGAUGGACUUUUAAAGUUUGCACACCAUAUGCUCAUUUCCAGCUUCUUUAAACCCUUCGAGUUUCUACAUAUAUAUUUUUUCAUCUAGAUCUUAAUUUUAAAAAGCUGUCUUGACAUCUAUUUGGUGAAGCUCUAAAACAAAAUGAGCCACCAAUGCCAUUAUUAUCUGAAAAGAGUCUUUAGUAGAUAUUGGAGAAAAAACUUCAGUAUAAUCAAUUCCUUCUAUUUGCGUAUCCCUUUGCAACUAACCUUGCCUUGAAUCUCUCUAUAUUGCCUUUAUUGUCUUUCUUGGUUUUGAAACCCAUUUGUAGCCGAUCGGUUUUUGCCCAUCUGGCAAAUCAACAAGUUUCCAUACUUGAUUAGUUAACAUGGAAAUCAUCUCAUCAUUCAUCGCUCCUAACCAAUUAUCUGCAUGAUCACUAUUAAGUGCUUCUUUGAAAGUAGUCGGAUCAACUAUAUUUCCAAUGUCAAAAUCAAUUUCUCCAAUAUAUACAUAAUAAUCAUUUAAAGGCGUUAGUCUUUUUUGUCGCUGUGAUCUUUGCACUGGCAUUUCUGGAGCCCCAUCAUUCGUCUGGGAAUUUCAUUUGUGAUAGAAAGAUCUACCGUCAUACCUCCGGUAUCUACUUCUUGCUGAAUUUCUACUCUGCAAGGCUCCCGCAUAAAAUCAUCAUGCAAGAUGGGCAAUGGAAUAGAGAACGUUUAGUUUGGUUCUUCCCUUUUGAAAGAUUGAGAAAAACUCUUUUUAGCAACAUCUAAUUCCAAGAAUUUGGCAAUUUGGGAUUCAACGAUUCUAGUGCCACAAGUAGGACAAUAGAACAUAUACCCUUUGGAAGGGUAUCCAAUAAAGUAAGAUCUCGAAGUCCUGGAUUCGGUCUUCUUCUGAGAAGGAUCAUAAAUUUUCACCUCUGCAGGACAACCUCAAACUCGAAAGUGAUUCAAGUUUGGUUUUCUCCCUAUCCACAAUUCAAAAGGUGUUUUCGGCGCCGAUUUACUAGGUACACGAUUCAAUAUAUAAGUUGCUAUUUGAAUUGCAUCACCCCAUAAGUAUUCAGACAAAUUAGAACUGCCCAUCAUACUUCAUUUCAUCUCCACGAGCGUGUGAUUGCGCUGUUCAGGAACACCAUUCUAUUCAGGACUCCCAGCAUUAUAUAUUGAGCGACAAUACCACAAUCCUGUAAAUAUUUUGCAAACGGUCACAUUUGUUGUCCAAUAUCAGUAUAUCGCCCAUAAUACUCACCCCCUCGAUCAAAUCUAACAAUUUAGAUAAUUUUUCCCAAUUGUUUCUCGACUUCAGUGCGAAAUACUUUGAAUAUUUCAAGAGCCUCAAUUUUCUCCUUAAUUAAAUAAACAUAACAAUAACAGAAGAAAUCAUCAAUGAACGUGAUGAAGUACUUAUUUCCACACAAGGUGGUUGAGUACGGCCCACUAAUGUCAGUAUGAAUUAUCUCCAAUAGAUUUUGACUACGAGUAGCACCUUUCUUCUUGAUUUUAGUUAAUUUUCCCCUUACACAAUCAAUACAAGUCUUAGUAUCAUCUGAAUCAAGAGGAGGGAGAAUAUCAGCCUUAAUGAGUUGCUUUACCCUUUCUUUGGAGAUAUGCCCUAAUCGCUUAUGUCAUAGCAAUGAAGAUCUUUCUUUGAUUAAAGAUCUCUUAGCAACAUUAUUCUCGACAUUGAAAAAGCAAUAUGGUUUAUCAAGGGAUAAGGAUAAUCGAUAUAAUCCAUCAAACAAAACACAAUUCCCAAUAAUUCUAGAAUCAUAACUCAAAUCCACUAUUUUAUUCGCAAAGUAAAGACAAUAUCUAACUUUGUCAAGCGAAGAAAGAGAUACUAAGUUUCUCCUAAAACUAGGAAAAUAAAAGACAUUGUUCAAGAUAAGCUGAAAACCAGAAUCUAAAUUCAAAACAACUGUCCAUAAGUGCUCCACAUCAACUCUAGUAUUGUUUCCAACUUUAAGCUUUGACUCCUUCAAACUUGGAUUCCUUAGACUUGUGAGACCCUGUAAGGUAGUUGUCACGCCCUGAUCCUCCGAGCGUGUACCAUCCCUCAUUGGUCGAUUAAAUAGCGACAUCUCAAGACGCGUCGUCGACCCAUUCCUUUUAAUGCACAUAUGGAAGCAAAUAAAUAAAUCCUCAAACAACAACAAGAUGAGAUAGAAAAGCAGGACCACCAAUUAUCAAAAAUCAAACCACACCUUUAUACAUAUUAGACUAAUUCAUAUACAUUAUUAGCCGAUAUUUACAAAGUCUACAAAAAGGUCGACUCUCUAAAACAAGCUAUCCGAUGAUUAGCUAGUCCGACUCGUUCGCUGAUUCGGUAGAGUCCACAGGGUCAGGGCGAGACGGUGGGUCCUCCACUGUGCCAUCAGGAGGGUAAGCUGGACCCUCGUCUAAGGCAACAUCAAUCACCACAGAGGGGAUUUCGAAAGUCCUAAGGGGACCUAGUCUAACACCAUAGAGAGUGGUGCGGAACUAGGCUCUGAAUCGAUUAGGUAUUUCCUGAUGUGGAACCUUUUCGACCCAGACAGUGGUUACGACUAGCUCAUAAACCCAAAAACCUCCGGGAUCGGGAAAACUGGAAACUCGCUCUGUAACUCUCAUGGGACGACCAUGACGUUCGGGGGGAUUCGCCAUCUAAGAACCUGAAAAUGUUAUCCAACAACGGGGUGAGACGAUGUCUCAGCGAGUUCAACCCCCCAAUACUUGAUUAGGAAGAAAAUACGCCAUGAAGGCUACCUAAGCAUAAUCAUGAGUCAGAAGACUUACCUUGGCCUCGAUUCCUUCCUGCAAGUCGAUACAAUUCAAAUAACCAUCCAAUCACUCACUUCACAAAUCAAUUUAUCCCCUCAGAUUGAAUUAUUGAUCAAUCGACUUAAUCGAUUCUAUGUCAUCGAGACCAUUCCCUGGUCAUCUCAAUACUAUCUAUAAAGUCCGAUCAUAAUUAGGACUGCUCACUCUAAGCUAAUAGUAGAUAGAUAGCUCACUAGAAGCUGCCUAAUAUACUGAUAUAGUAUACUAAAUAUGCUCACUAGAAGCUACCUCAUAUACCGUUAUAGUAUACUAAAUAUGCUCGCCAUAAGCUGCCUCAUAUACCGUUAUAGUAUACUAAAUAUGCUCACCAUAAGUUGCCUUAAUAAAUAUGCUCACCAGAAGUUGCCUCAUAUACUAUUAUAGUUUAUAUAAUUGAAUCACCAUUUUUAUCCUUCCCGAUAAAAAUAAUUGUGUGUGGGUACACGGUCGGCCUUAGCCAAAAAUACAAUUUUCUGCCACUUGAAAAUCCCACAAAUUUUAACAGUCCACAAAUCCAUUUUUGGCACUGUAAAUCGACGCUCGGUGAUUUUCUAAUUAAUUAUUGAAAUUAGUAAAUUUUGGGAUAAUUACCCACAAUCACAAAUCACACUCAAUUUGCACAAAAUAACAGUCAAUUAAAUAAACAUAUCACACCACUGCAAUCAGCAUAAAAUUCUGGUCACCGACUAUCUCGGUCUAAUUUCCGAAAAAUAAAUAAUUAAUUAAAUAAUUACAGAAAUUAAUUAUUAAAUACUAAAAAUAGCAACUUAGGUUCGUAAAGCCUAAUUGAAAGCCGAUAUGGGCCCAGAAAAUUUCCGAACCACUCUAAAUAAAUACUAGAGCUUGUCUAGGCUCUAAUUAAACUACUCUAACAACCUAACAUGCAAUAAAGAUUAAUUAAAUUGCUAAUCUAAUCUAACUAUCCACCUAAUCCAGCUUAGACUAAACUAAUCAACCAUUAAACGUCAUUAACUUACUAAUCAAGGAUUAGUGAGUUAAACUCACUUGAUUAGCAAUCCGCUCAGAUCAAAACGACAGGGACGCGGAGGGGCCUAACAAACUCCAAAGCGGGAUCAGGACGGGCCUGAAAACGAGCCUUGCUGCCAACAAACCCUUACUCGUUUUGGCUUCAAAACUUGGGCUGAAGGAGCUACAACGGGCGGCUGGUUCGGGCAUGGCUUGGGCUAGAUUCCGAGGCUGCGGGUGAGGGUGUGGCUUGGCGUCACGGCUGAAACUGCGACUGCUAGGAAGAUGGGCCAAGAUGAACAAAUGGAGGGCCAGCUUCGGUGGAACAAAGGUCAACACCUGAAGAAGAGACGCCACUGGUUGACUGGUGCAAGAAGAAGUGCUGGCAUGUGGGCUGGGGUGUUGUCAUCAGUGGGGUAGCAAAGAAAAAGGGGACCAUCGAAGUAACAAGCUUCGGUGAGAGAAAGAGAGCGAGAGAGAGAGAGAAGCCCGCGAAGACAAAGAAAGAGGGAGGAGAGAUAGGGACGUCAGCUUCGAGGGGGAAAGAAAAGGAAAAUGUGCAGGGAAAAGAAAUAAAAGAAGAAGCAGAAGGGGUUCGACGUUGGCAAGAGAGAGAGAAAUAAAGAGAGAGGAUAAAAAUGGUUUAAAAGUCAAAGAGAGAAAGGCAAAGAGGGGACCAGCUUGCAGGGGCUGUCAGUUUUUUUUGGGGGGGGAGGGGGGAGGAACCGUUCGAGAGAGAGAAAGAAGUAGAGAGAAAAACGUGCGAGAAAUAAGGGAAGAAAAGAAAGAGAGGCGCGCGAAAAAGGGGGAGACCAUAGAAGGGAGGGAAAUUAAGGGCACAAAUGAUAAACAUUCUAACUAGAAAUUGAUUUCUGAAAAAGAAAUAGAUUUUUCUAUUUUUAUUUCUAGAUGAGUUUCUAAGCAAAAAUAUCUAUUUGAUAAUGACAUAAAAUUUUUACUCUAAAAAUAGAAAUUCGUAUGAUAACGACACAAAAUUUCUCCCUUUCGGACGAUGGUGACCGGCAAGCGGAAACCGGUGACUGGCGGCGGUAGCGGCUGACAGGCGACGAUCGGCAGGCUAUAACUAACGACUGGCGAUGGCGGCAACGACGGUUGGCGACCAGCGGCGGCGGAGGCGACGACUGAUGACCAGUGGACGGCGGCGGCCGACAGCCAGCGACCGGUGGAUGGCAGCUGACGGGGGCCGGAGACUAGCAGAUAGCGGCCGGCGACCGGCGGCAGGCAACGGGUAGUGGGUGACUAGCAACUGGCGACCGGCGGCUGACAACUAACGAACAACGGCGACGACCAUCAACAGACAGUGGUCUGCAGCAAUGAAUGGACGAUCGAUUCAUAGUAAAGACGAACGAUGAGAAGAAUUUUUAUUUCUCAUUUCUAUUUUAGAAAUAGAAAAGUAUAAAAUUUUUACUUUUGAUUUAUAUUCCAAACCUAUUUCUGUAACAAAAAUCCAUUUCAAAAAUAGAAAAAUGAAAUAAUUUUAUCAAACGGAUUUCUAUUCCAGAAACAAAUCUAGAAUAGAAAAAUUGUUUCUAGAAUAGAAAUUCUGGUUUGUCAUGCACCCCAUAAAUAAAAACCUCAUAUACUUAUCCAAUCUUGGUCCACAACUUUCAUGUAGAAAGCUUGGUCCUCACUUGCUUCCUUGCACCAUAAUUCUCCCAAAAUAACAAGUCGUGGUUAGCAAAAAUAACCAUUCCUUUCAAUUCCGAGUUCUAUUUUCUUUUUCUCGGAAUCCGAUUUUUGAACAAACUUCUCCGAUUGAGGUCCAAUUUGUUGAGGAAAAAGCCCACGAAAUUUCCUUUCACCAAGUAGCUCACGCCAGAGGCCAGAAAUCCCUUCAAAAUGGUCAAUCUGAAUUUCUGUUCAUUUUUCGAAUCGUCCAAAUCGAUUUUCCGUAAAAAUCUCGAACUCACUGAAAAUUCCUCAAAAGAUAAGUCAAUGUUCCUAAAAUGAUUCGUGACAUGACAGGACUUUCAAUUUCUGAAAUCAAAUUCAAAUUCGCGGUUAAUUUCAAUCUGACGUGAUUUUAGCGUGACCUAACCUACCGAAUACCUUUUAGGAAUUUUUGAUGCAAUUGACUCGUGGUCGAUUUUCUUCGAGCCACACAUACCUCUUCGACACAUUGGCAACUCUCAGUGGUCGUGAAAAACUCCAAGUUUCAAAUACAGACACAAGGUACCCAAAACGACAGAAAAUCGGUCUAGUGCCGAUCAACGAGAAUUUUACAAUCAAGUGGAAUCACCCACACUGUGAUCACACAUCUCGGUCGAAUCGACUUAUCUCCGAUCUCUAAUCGAUUUUUAAUUGUGCCGCAAUGCCCUUGUAGACUAGCACAGUCGAGCAAUCGAUUCCUUGUUGAAUUUUCAAGUCUAUUGCGUUAAAAUCCCUUAAUGGCUUCACCUGAUAGGUCAGUUAUCUCAUAAGUGACCAUCUUAGAGAACAACACUAUAGGCGUGUCGAUGAAAGGCCUAACUUAUCCAAUCGAAAUCAGAACAUGAAAAUCAGAAUGUCACAGUAGUAGUCACAUGAAUAGUAGCACCAAAAUCAAGCUACCAAGAAUCCAAAGAAGCAUCAACUAAAUUUGAUUGAAAACAAACUAACAACUCACCUUGGUAACUUUCUUUUCUUACUUUUAGCCAAACUUGGAACUUGUAGCAAUUGGCUCUCUUGUGACCAUGUUUCUUGCAGUGGAAACACUUGAAAUCUUUAUCUCCAUUUCUCCCAUAGUUCAUUUUUCUUGAAGUCUUGGCCUUUCUUUGAACCAUGAGCAUUUGACCCUUUAGGCUUCCAUUUGCCUCUAGAUGAACUCAACUUGGCAUUGGCAGUUAAGUGGGCGAACUCAUACUUUUCCUACUUUAACUUAUUUUCCUCAAUCACACACUUGUUAAUCAAGGCAUUAACGCUCCAUGUCUUAUUCUAAGCAUUAUAAGCAGUCUUAAUCUAGCUAAAUUCAACUGGCAGAACAUUUAAGGUGUCAUGCACAAUAUAAUUUUCAGAAAGAAUAAUUUCAUGGGCCUUAAGUUUGGACUGAAUGUGGACCAUCUUUUGUAUAAAUUCUCUAACAUCCAUAGCAGCAGCAUACCUCAUAUUCGUUAACUCACUCAGCAAGUACCCAGCUUCAGCCUUAUCUGAGAUUCUAUAUCUUUCUCUCACUACUUUAAGGAACUGUCUGGCAUUCGUAUCUUCCGGCAAACCACUAAUGAGAUACUCAGCAAUGGAUCUCUUCAUAGCAAUGAGGCUUAGUCAGUUAGAUUUUUCCCAUCUAGCAUAAUGGGCCUUUUGAUCUACAGUACUUUGAUCAUUGGGCCUAGUAGGUUUAUCCUCACGUAAAGCCAAGUCCAUAUCAACGAUGCCCAGAGCAAACUCUAUAUCUUGCUUCCAUCUCUUGAAGUUUGAUCUAAUUAACAUUUCAACCGUAUCAUUGUUGUUAUUUACAACAAAGGUAACUGUUUGUCACGCAUAAUGCAAUAAGAUCAAUUAUGGACAAUAAGUAAUUCAACAAAAAUAAUUAGUACAUUAUAAACUCCCAUUUGAGUAGAGUGUAUAAUGCACCAUUAUUUUUCACAGCAUGAAGUUUAUAAAGCAACAACAAGAAAAAUUACAUAUAAUUGUCAAGGAUACAUCCCCUUUAGGCAGACAAAUCAUUUAAAUUAUAUAUCUCCAUAAUAUCAAUAUAGAGGGGAAUUACAUAUAAUUUUCAAAACAUUUAUCUCCUUUGGACAGAUAAAUAUUUUUCAAUUAUAUACAUCCCAAUCUUUCAAAUAUGGGAAUUAAUCUUCAUGAUUUUUGCCAAAUUAAUAUACACAAUAACCCCAUUUGGGUGAGCAAUUGUAUAUAUUAAUUUUUAUCAAUAGGAAACUCCGAUAAUUUAUGCCCAAAAUCCAUCGAACAAUAUGAAAUAUUUUACAACAUGUGCUUCCAAAGAUCAUAUUGCACUUUUUCAAACAACAAUUUUUGCCACAAUUUUUUUAAAUUUAUUAUUUUAAUAUUUUAGACCCACCCGCGGGCCCUAACCCGCGCCCAGCCCAUAGACCAGCAAGAGCCCACAUAGGCCACUUGGAACAGGCCCAUCACUUCUUUUAAUUAAAAUUGGCCCACAAUUGGGCUAUCGGCCCAAAGGAAAUUAGAUUGGGCUCACGCCCAUUAAAAACAAUAUUCGCCUAGAACCUGAAACAAAAAAAACAAAAAAAAAACAAAAAAAAACAAAAAAAAAAAAGAGAAAGAAAGAAAGGACGCCCAUCCAUAAGUAAGGGUUCUGGGCAUAGCCCAAAACUUCAAAAACGUUCAAAAAAAAAAAAGGAUGGGCUGUUUUAAAUGGCCCCCAAAAUUUAAAGAAAAUAUGGGCUUAUUUAGGCCCAGGCCCGGCUGGAGGUCUUCUUCAACCUCUAGCCGGGUCCUGAAUUUUUGCAAACCGGGUCACACGACCCGAUUUCAACCCAAAGCUCCAAAAACACAAAUUAACUUGAUGUUGUAUAAAUUUCUCCAUGGAACUUGCAUAUAACAUCAAUAAAAUUGACUAGAAUGAAUUAAACGAAGAAAAACCAAGUAAAUCAACCACAUACAAGCUUCAAAAUUUCGGAUCCAAGCCUCCCAUGGCCGAAAAUUCGGUUUUCUUAAAUUUAAUCUUCCCAGUAGCCCCUAAUUUUUAACUUAUCAUCGUCUUGUUAAAUAUUGAAUACACUAACCUUUUGUUGGCAUGUUAGAUCAUAUGUCAACACCGCAUGCUUUAACUGUCAAAUGAAAUACCUUUCCUAAUUUGUGACAUGAAAUGAUAUGUCUUCUUGUGUCUAUUACCAAGUGAUGUGUGAGCAUCAUAAAAAAAAUAUUUAUGCACAUGGUUAAUUCACAUCAUUAGAUGAAUGACUUUCUUUCCUUCAUCCUUUGUUCAAUUAAUAAAUCAAGGGAGCGUUCAGUUACGCAGGGCCACUACCAUUUUGCCAAUACCACAUUAUCAGCAUUAGCCGACUGCAUAAUGGAGAAAAUGUGAUAAAUUUGAAGUUAGAUUUGUCUUUUACCUUGAGCUUCAUCAAAAUCUCUUGCGUCACCAAAUGAAUGAAUUGCCAGUGCCUGUCACAUUAGUGAAUCAUCUAAGUUGAAAUUGCAAAAGAUGACCUCAAGACAAUUGACAAGAGAUCACAAUCAACAUGGCCAGUACCAUAAAUGACGUGGUUGAUGCUGUCACCAAAAAUAGUUUUCAAAACACACUUAGUAUUCAAUCAAUUUCAAACGACCUAAACGAGAUCUUAUCCAAGUUAAAACAAAAGUUAAUGGAGUGAUUUAGGAAACCAACAUCCCCUUCCUUCUUCAACUCACAUCCUUUAAUUUGGGCAACAAAUCUGAGGGCAUCCUUCCACUCUCUUGUUGUUUGCAGGCCAAACUUCUCUUCAUGCUUCACCAUAGCCUUAAUGUACAGUUGAGACUCAAGCUUGACAUCACGAGGCUUCACAUUAUAGAAAAUCGGCAAAAUCUCAUUCUCGGAUAAUUUUGAUUUCUUGCAUUUUACGAUGUGUACAAGCUCACCAAGACACCACAGACUUGAAGCAUAACCUUUAAAAAAAAUGGGUACAUAGAUCUUUGAUUUUUCGAUAGCAAUCUGCAGCUCAUCUUCUAUUUUUUUACCCACAGGGAGUUCUAUCUCGUCGAAGAAAACACGGAUAUUCGCAUCUCGCAAAACAUGGUAAAAGCAAUUUGUGAAUCCUUGACGAGUGUCCUUCCCCUAAAAUUCAAAAGGAUCUCAUAGUCAUUCCCCGACAACACGCCACCCCUCUUUCCAGCCCUCAAGCUCCUUCCCAUUCCUAGUGCCACGGAGUCAUUUCGCCUGUGGCAGUAAUUUUGUUUAGCCAUUUUACGGAUUCCACUCAUUCCUUGGAUUUGCACAAAAAGUGCUGGGAAUUGCUGGUCCGACAACAUCGCAAUCGCCCGAGAGUUUCCUCUCCCAAAGCACCUGACCAAUGAAAUGCACGUUCGUGAAAAUGAACGACAUUCUCCGACCAUAAAAAUGAUCGACUCCUCUGGCUCUUAGAUUCUCAGAGCAUCUUGCAUAUCACCAUUGUAACGGACUCUUCUCUCUCUCGAGUGGUUCGUCAUAGCAGGCGGACUACUCGAAAUUUUGAAAUUCCGGUGACGAUUAUGAUGGGACCCUAAGCAUAUCCCAUAUGCUCAAGACGUCCAAUAAGUUGGGCCCAAUGAACACGGAAACAUGCAAAUCGAUAGGCCCAAUGGGCCUUUUGGUGCUUUUAUAUCGUACUCGUGAGAAGGUUAGGCAGUACUUCGAGUUUGCUGCGACGCCUUGAACGCAAAUCUCUCCAGGCGAGGAUGUAAAUGCAAUCUUAAGUUCAAUGAAAGUACCGUCCCAUGGUAAAGCGUGUACGAAACUAGAAUUUAAAAUUGACAAUAGACAGAUCCGUUCCGUGGGGAAGGUACAAGUUAUUAACAAGCUGCCAUUAGUCCUCUCAAAAGUUUUUUUUUUUUUUUUGUCAAUCCUACUAUAUGCCUAUUCUACACCCAUUCUCAGUCUUUUGCCCUGCAAGAGGCAGGGCGUGAAAGUCGAAACCCAUUCCUGAAACUUACUCGUCCUCUCAGAAGUUACAUGAUUUAGCUCCGUCAAAAGAAGUAGGAAAAAAAAAAAAAACCUUCUUAUUUUGGGAAUAAUUUUUAAAAAUAAUUUUUUUUCUUUUUUUUUCUUUUCUACUUAUUGCUCAUUGCCCUCUAUCGGCCACCCCCACGACCAGUUGCCCAUUACCAAAUUAAUUUAAAACAAUGUGGAAGUCAUUUUUCUCUAUUUGACUACGCUUUUCCUUAUCGAUUGAAAGUAUUUUCCUUGACUAAUUUAAUUUUUGCACGCCAAACACUGAAAUAUCUGGAAAAAAAAAUUUGGGAGGUUUAUUUCUUCCUUGAAACAAACGGAGCCGUAAGUUAUUUUUUAAUAUAAAAUCAGAGGUUACUCGAAAUUAACUUGAUCCUUCUCAAGUUCAACUAAUUAACAUGCUUCAAGUUUAAAAAUAUUCUAAUGGAGUAGCUCGAAAUCUAACAAAUUAAUUGAACUUUUACAUAUCGAAUUACUUAUAGGCAUUAUUGAACGCUAUGAACAAUUAAAGAGUACUGUUUUUAGAUUUGAUUUUAUGUAAGAUUUGGGGCUCGAGCAUAGAUUGAUCUCGUACGAAAAUUCACCCAGUAGAAGAGUCGAGCCAAUCCAAGCUUAACAAUAGCAUAUAUGUUUUCAGUUCGAAUCUGUAGCACCAUCUUUUCCAAAGUUCAUCAUAUCAUGGGCAGGAGCUAAUCAACUCCAGAACUAAAAGUUCAAUUGCUGAAGAUGAUGCUGAGCAAGAUAUCCAUAAAGACAUAAGGCAGAGUCAGCUAAAUAAUAUAUCCUAUGGUCGAGCAUAAUUCUAGUAACUUUGUCGGGUGCUACCACACAUACAAUACGAUCAGGAAUCUCGGCCACACUCCACUAGGUCCUAAAGCAACCCACUCGUCACGAAGCUCGUACGAGGCAUAAAUCUUCAUCACAACGUGAGAAGUUGCAGGAGCAGAUCUCACCUGAAGUAGGCAGGAUUGUGUUUGGCCUCUUUCCUAGUGGGCACCGAGCCUCUCCGAAAUUCCAAGAGACCGCACAAAGUGCAAAUGCAACAAAAGGGAUGGGAGGGAUGGGACCGAGAAGUCAGAACGUAAACAAAAGCGCAUUAAUGCCAAAACGAAAUGCAAAAAGUCAAACCACUUGGUUGUGUCUCAACUUUCCCACCAAGUGAGAGCGGUGUAGCUGUAAAGAUGAAACAAAAACUGCAAGCGAGAUGAUAGGGACACCACCACUGUAGCUGGAUGCGUUCAUUUGAAAAGAAGGAAAAGAAAUUGAUCAAUCACUGGGAAAAGAAAAGGAUGGAUUAACAGUAUUGACUAGGACAUAUCAGAAGGGAUUCAGAGGGAAAUUUCCAAUCCUUUCUCUUUCCUCCACUAAAACAAACCAGACAACAUGAGCUGAAAAUCACCCCCUCCAAUUCCCUUACUUUUUCUCCGAAUCUCUCCAACCAAAGGGUUGUGUACUUGAUGACAUGAUUGAAGACUGCCACCCAGAAUCUUGACACAUCGGAGCUGACAAGAACCAAAAUCAUGCAAUCGUUCUCCGCAGUGGUCUGCAUUUUCUAACUACGUGCUGCAGAAAUGUAAUGAAAAAGCAACACAUUCUAAAGGAAACUUCAAGACCAUUCUCUAUGCAAGCAUAGGUGCACAUGCAUCAGUCAUGAUCCACACUGCACAUCCGCACAUCCGCACAUCCGCACCCACCCACGCACAGAGAGAGAGAGAGAGAGAAAGUUUUCCCCUGAGCACUGAUAACACGAUCAUGAUCCUAAAUUUCCUGAUGAAAUACCAGGAAUGCAUGUCUGCAUUUGAGCAUUAGACUAAUCACAUAUUGGCAUAAAAUCUAACCAAGGCCAGUAACCAAAAGGAGAAAGAAAAUGGAGCGAGAAGGUUCCUUCUAAUUCUCACUCUUCUCUAAUGUCCAAUUCCCUGUUUAGCUAUUUUUGGGCAGGACAAAGACCAUCAUAUUGGAUAGGCAAACAUAAUCUCUCAGCUUAUAGCGACGAAUCCAGCUGAGUAAUGAUAACAGGCAGCAAUAAAACCACAGGUGUGUGUGUGAUCUGCAGAGCCCUUGACACAAUCUACGACUGCAAGAGUAUUUGCCUUCUACUUAAGAUUCAUAUGCAAAGUAAGCACCUGCAUAUGAGAGGGGGGGGGGGGGGGAACAUUAUUUCAAGUAAAGCAAACAAACAAGAAAUCAUCAGUAACUCCUCAAAAGAUGCAUGAUGACAGUCAGUACCAUUGUCAUGUAACACUGUAUGGGAUAUCACAACCAUCAUAUAACUAUGUUAACUGGAACAAUACAAAAUGCUACAAAACUCGAUGGACAAGAAUCAAGAGAGAUCUCAUCAAUGUUAUUGCAGUAAGCUAGCCACCCUAAGCAUGUAUUACCUAUUUAUUUCAAGACCCACCGUCCCAUACCUAUUAUAUUACAAUGCCCUGGCCGAGCCAUCAAAAUACCCAAAAACAAUCGACCAACUUCAAGUGCUUUCUGCUGGGGUAAGAUGCCCCAAUUGUCCUGUUAGGUUAUUUACGGUCUUUGCAUUCCACCAAAACCUGCUGUGAUCAGCGGGUUUGCUCUCAUUCCUUCUACCAUCAGUAUCCUUUCUUUCUGACUGAACUUCCUGAACAUCGGAGGAACCAGGAUUCUCCGUCAAGAAUUGCUCCCAGAAGACAUCGUUAACCCCUGCUGGCACAUUAGGAGCUGUGGCUACAGCUUGUUCUUUAGACGAAACUGGCUCAGAAGCAACGGUCAAAGCUGGCUCGGAAGUAGUAACCACGGCAGGCUCAAAAACAGUAGCAGCAGUGGGCUCAGAAUUCAUGUCAAUUGUGGGUGAUCUAGGCCGUGCAUCAAUAUUAAACUGAAUGCAGGAUAUAGCAGGGCUAUCAGCACAACUAGUAGUCUCAUCGAAGUCUAGGGUUGAGUUGCGCUGACCAAUGUUUUCACAAUCAUGCGCAAUGUAUUCCCAGAUUGUGAGCGAUGAUUCCAAUUGUUCAUAUAAAUCCAAUAUCGAUGGUAAGGAUGAAGCUCCAUCAAUGUUUUCUCUUGUCAAAGUUUGGGGAGUCCCAGCAUGAUUGUCUUCACCAUGUCCCUCAUCAUGGUAGUAACCAAUUCGAGGCAAUCUCCUCUUCUUAUCAUUAAACUCCGACUCAAUCAACAUAUUAAGGGCAAGACCAGGUUUCUGCAGAACAUUACCCAAGUUAGACACCAUAUUCUUCUGUCGCUCUUCCAUUUUCAAAAGCCGUGCCUUCAAAUUCUGCAUCUGCACUUCAAAGCCUUUCCUCUCUUCUUCAUGCACCUGUAGCUCCAACUGAAGAGAUUCCU